UGUUGUGUUUCCUGAGUCGUUUGUCAACCAAAAUGUCUUGCCUCAUGAAGACUGGAUACAUGUGUCUAAUUAAGAUAGUUUUGUUCAACUAUUUCAAGUGUUUCGAAGUAACCACGGUAGGGGUUAUUUCACUUAAGUAGCCUUUUGCUUCAUAGACGAGUUUUUUUUUUGCUUCAUACACGGGCAUGUUUGUUUCUUGCCAAGCUUGAAACUCGUAGACACAUCGAAAGGAAUGUAAUUAUAAAAGUCAGUGUCUUUCAUCAAGUAACAAUAAGAUCAUAGUUAAAUAGUUAACGAUAGUCAUCUCUGUUGCAAAGUUGAAAGCCAAGAGGGAAGGAAAGACACAGGAAAAUUGCAAAAGUAUAUGGUGACAGUUAACGACUUUGUAAAGAGUAAGGUAGGCUGUGAUGAAACGGAAGAUGGAUGUAGUUUGAGAUUUGUUAAGUAGAAAAGUAGAAGUCAUGCAUAAGGAGAAAAGAAAGAUACAAAAGACAAAGUAAGAAUCGCUAUGAAGGCUAACGUUACAAGGCUCUCCACGCAUCCACUGUUGACAGUGAGGAAGUUGCAACCCCAUCUGAUAAACAACAAACAAAGGUGAGCCAGCAGCUCAACAGUCCAAGUCAACUCCUGUUGAGACUGCAGUUGAGAGAAGGCUGAGAAAACAGGACCUAAGAAACCGUCUAAGAAAGCACAGCAAAGAAACAGACUCGAGGAAUCAAGAAAAAAAGCAAUUUUGGAAGCAAAUGAUGCCGAGGACCGAGAAACUACGAGAUUGGAGGGAUCUCUUGGGUAUAACAAGUGGGGAAACAAUUUGCUGAUGAUGGACUUGAUUACAUUUUGGGUGUACUGGAAGCUGGGUCGGCAGCUUCAGGGAUGAUGUAUGACAGUGAUGACGACAUGGACAUUGCCAAAAAGAAUUUCAGGAAAUUGGAAGACAGUGAAUCUGAAAUGUCCACCAAGGAGGAGGAAGAACAAGGACAAGACUCUGAAGAGGAGGGCAGCGAACUAGACAGUGACGGAGAUCUGGAUGCCAAUGUGGCGGAAGGCAAGUAUGUGGAGGAAGAUGAGAUUGAUGAGGACGGAGAAGGAAUGGAUGAGAGUGGUGGAGCAGGUUCGGAAGAAGAACAUUAAGAGGAAGAGGAAUGAGUUGAGACUCAAAGCUUGCAGGGCCUAAGGCAGAAACUGCAGCCCUAUCAGCAGGCAAAUAUGUGCCUCCUCACCUUACGGGACACCGGGGAUGAUAAGCGCAAAGCUGAGCUAGAGAGACUGAAGAGACAAGUCAAAUGACUUGUGUACCGGUGGGGGCUAAUUUCUUGGAGAGAGUGGUGUGGAAGUUUGACGGAAGAGCCCGGUGGCCAUGGUGGCACAUCUCUACAACUUCCAGGUGGUGCACGCCCUCCUCACCUUUGACAUCCUGAAGAUGCUGGUUGGGGCUUUCACCGAAAAAGGACAUUGAGCUGGUUCUGUUCAUGCUGAAAAAUGUAGGCUUCACCCUGCGGUAGGAUGAUGCCCUGGCUCUGAAAGAGCUCAUCUCUGGGGCCCAGCGCAAAGGCAGCUGUGUGGGCACCAAGUUUCAGGAUGAUAACAGGAUCCACCAGAGUUCAGGGGCCAGUGAUGUGAAGCUGAGGGUCUCUUUGGAGAACCUCUUGGCUGCAGAGCAGGUGGGCCGCUGGUGGAUCGUGGGCUUAUCGUGGAGCAGAGCACCCAUGAUAGGUGACCAGGGCAACAUGACAUCAAAACAGACAACUGCAGAAGGAAAGUUCAGCUUAAAGAUCUUAGACCUGGCCUGGAAACGGAGAAUGAACAGACAUAAGGAGAAAUAUCUUCUGCGUCAUCAUAACCAGCGAGGAUUACCUGGAUGCCUUUUGAGAAGCUGGAUUUCGGGAAUUCCCAAACUAGGAAUGCUGUGGGAGGGCUUGAAGCUGUUCAUCAGUCACUUCCUACUGAAGAUUGCCCAGCCCCAGGGACCAGCUGAGCAAACAGGCCUUCUGUCAGAGCAAGCCGAGGUCACCCCCGAGGCCAAAGAAACCAAACUCAAACUGUAAAACACACACAGACACGUUCGGACUCUGAGAGAAUGCCAGGAGAACAAAAGAAACCUGUUUGGAGAAAAUGGUCUUUAUUACAAAGAACAAACCCAUCAAUUUAAUUUCAAGACUGAAGCAAUGCUGUUUUGUUAUGGGGUUUUUAAACUGUGAUUUUGGAUGUUGCCCCAAGGUCAAUGGAAAUGGCUCCUCUGGGAGGUCUUAGUCAUCAUAUAAGUCAUCUUUUUUCAAAUGAAUUGCAGUAUUGACAACGACAGAGAUGGUUUUUAUGACAUUAUAAAUAUCAACGUUAAUUCGCGGCUUCAUCAAGUGGCCAUGAUAAUGGCCAUGCCGUUGUGGACAAUUCUAUUUCCAGUGUAGUUAACACUGAUGCAUCAAGUUGAAUUCAUUGUCGUAAUGGAAAUUGCCUUUGUCUAUAUAUUUGUACAGAAUGCCAAGUUAUUCUGUUUUUGCCAUGUAGCAAUGGUAUGCAGUCUUCUAUAAUGCAUGUUUCAGAUGAAUAGAGGAUUAAUAAUGUAAACAUUUGAGAUGUGCAUAAGGGGAAAUAAUAAACAUUUGCAUACUGAAUUAAUCUGAUUUGAUGGGUCUUGAUACAUGUGAAUGUGUUUCCUGUAUGUUAUGUCUCUGGAAUUCGUGAAAGCUUAUUUGCAUAAUGUCAAUAAACCGAGCUCACUUUCCGGGCGGACGCAAUGGUUAUAUGAAAUAAUCCUCUCUGGCAGCAGUGUGAAACAAUGUCUCAAAGUUCAUACAGAAUGUACAUGACCGUCAUCACCACUGCAUAUGACAUUUGGAUGAAACUUAUGUAGUUCUGACCUUGUCUACUAAUGUUCUGUAUUAUGUCACGUUUUGUGUGGACCUGAGGAAGAGUAGCUGCUGCUUUCGCAGCUGCUAAUUGGGAUCCUAAUAAAGUACCAGUUGUGUGUGGUCAUACUGA